GAUGAAGAACGCAGCGAAAUGCGAUAAGUAAUGUGAAUUGCAGAAUUCCGUGAAUCAUCGAAUCUUUGAACGCACAUUGCGCCCGCCAGUAUUCUGGCGGGCAUGCCUGUCCGAGCGUCAUUUCAACCCUCGAACCCCUCCGGGGGGUCGGCGUUGGGGAUCGGCCCUGCCUCUUGGCGGUGGCCGUCUCCGAAAUACAGUGGCGGUCUCGCCGCAGCCUCUCCUGCGCAGUAGUUUGCACACUCGCAUCGGGAGCGCGGCGCGUCCACAGCCGUUAAACACCCAACUUCUGAAAUGUUGACCUCGGAUCAGGUAGGAAUACCCGCUGAACUUAAGCAUAUCAAUAAGCGGAGGA
rnacentral:misc_RNA from 1 species